UACGAAGGGGGCUAGCGUUGUUCGGAAUUACUGGGCGUAAGGCGCACGUAGGCGGAUACUUAAGUCAGGGGUGAAAUCCCGGGGCUCGACCCCGGAACUGCCUUUGAUACUGGGUAUCUCGAGUCCGGAAGAGGUGAGUGGAAUUCCGAGUGUAGAGGUGAAAUUCGUAGAUAUUCGGAGGAACACCAGUGGCGAAGGCGGCUCACUGGUCCGGUACUGACGCUGAGGUGCGAAAGCGUGGGGAGCAAACAGG
rnacentral:rRNA from 1 species